AUCUACUGACGAGUCGCAAAUAGAACGAAAUUUAAAUCAUGGAU
rnacentral:hammerhead_ribozyme from 1 species